rnacentral:rRNA from 1 species
AGAGUUUGAUCCUGGCUCAGGACGAACGCUGGCGGCGGGCCUAACACAUGCAAGUCGAACGCGAACGGGGAUCUUCGGAACCCUUAGUAGAGUGGCGAACGGGUGAGUAAUACGUAAGCAAUCUGCCCCAGAGUGGGGAAUAAUUCGCCGAAAGGCGGACUAAUACCGCAUGAUAUCCUUAUUUCGCAUGGAAUUUGGAUCAAAGCCUUCGGGCGCUUUGGGAUGAGCUUGCGCACCAUUAGCUUGUUGGUAAGGUAACGGCUUACCAAGGCUACGAUGGUUAGCUGGUCUGAGAGGAUGAUCAGCCACACUGGGACUGAGAUACGGCCCAGACUCCUACGGGAGGCAGCAGUGAGGAAUAUUGCGCAAUGGGCGAAAGCCUGACACAGCUACGCCGCGUGACCGAUGAAGCUCUUAGGAGUGUAAAGGUCUGUUAGGAGGGACGAACGAUCCCGCUAUGCGGGAUGUGACGGUACCUCCAGAGAAAGCUCCGGCUAACUCCGUGCCAGCAGCCGCGGUAAUACGGGGGGAGCAAGCGUUGUCCGGAUUCAUUGGGCGUAAAGGGCGUGUAGGCGGGAUUGUAAGUCGGUGGUGAAAAUUCGGGGCUCAACCCCGAACCUGCCAUCGAAACUGCAGUCCUUGAGUGCAGGAGAGGGAACUGGAAUUCCUGGUGUAGCGGUGGAAUGCAUAGAUAUCAGGAAGAACACCGGUUGCGAAGGCGAGUUCCUGGCCUGACACUGACGCUGAGGCGCGAAAGCGUGGGGAGCGAACAGGAUUAGAUACCCUGGUAGUCCACGCCGUAAACGAUGGGCACUAGGUGCUGGAGGUAUCGACCCCUUCGGUGCCGAAGCUAACGCAUUAAGUGCCCCGCCUGGGGAGUACGAUCGCAAGGUUGAAACUCAAAGGAAUUGACGGGUCCUCGCACAAGCGGUGGAGCAUGUGGUUUAAUUCGAUGCAACGCGAAGAACCUUACCUGGGCUUGAACUGCAGCUGCACGCCCGUUGAAAAGCGGGCUCCUUCGAGGGUGCUGUAGAGGUGCUGCAUGGCUGUCGUCAGCUCGUGUCGUGAGAUGUUGGGUUAAGUCCCGCAACGAGCGCAACCCUUGCCCUUAGUUGCCAUCAGGUUAUGCUGGGAACUCUAGGGGAACUGCCUACGUUAAGUGGGAGGAAGGCGGGGAUGACGUCAAGUCCUCAUGGCCCUUAUGUCCAGGGCUACACACGUGCUACAAUGGCCGGUACAGAGGGUUGCAAUACCGCGAGGUGGAGCUAAUCCCAAAAAACCGGUCUCAGUUCGGAUCGCAGUCUGCAACUCGACUGCGUGAAGUCGGAAUCGCUAGUAAUCGCGGAUCAGCACGCCGCGGUGAGUACGUUCCCGGGGAUUGUACACACCGCCCGUCACACCAUGGAAGCCGGUAGGACCUGAAGUCGCCGACGCAACUCUUCGGAGAGCUAAGUGCCGAAGGUCAGACUGGUAACUAGGGUGAAGUCGUAACAAGGUA